AUUUGUCAACAUCAAUUCACACUUGCAUCCUCCAAAACCCAACAAAAUUAAACAAGUCACGAUCCCAUCUCAACCCCCACUCUAUACCUUCCCAUACUGCUAAUUAACUCUCUAACAGAAAGAUUACGAAGCAUCCCUUUGCCUCUAAAUAUAAGCAGAAGUUGAAGAUCAAACUAAAAUCAAGUCCAAAAGAGACUUCAUUUUUCUCUUGGCGAGGUGUGAAGAAAGGGAGAUGUCAGCUGCUGUAGGGACUUCGUCAGCAUCCAAAGAAAUGGGAUUCGACAAUGGAAUGGAAAUUGAAGAGCUGUUGAAGAACAAGAUCAACAACGUGGAGGCCACUGGUAGUGAAGAAGAAGAAGAAGAAGAGGAUGAGGAGGAAGAGAAUGAUUCCAAGGUCAUCAAGAGUUUGAAAGAACUGGAUAUUGGUCCUCAAGUUUCUUUCAAGGAGCAGCUUGAAAAAGACAAGGAUGAUGACAGCUUAAGAAGAUGGAAAGAGCAGCUCCUUGGAAGUAUUGACUUGGCUUCUGUUGGAGAAAGCAAAGAAGCAGAAGUAAAGAUAAUAAAGCUGUCAAUCUCAUGUCCGGGGAGGGCAGAUAUUGUAUUACCAAUUUCAUCCAAUGCCAAGUCAAAGAGAAGUCUCUUCACUCUCAGGGAAGGAACCCAUUAUCGCCUCAACUUAUCCUUUGCUGUUUCCAACAAUAUCGUCUCUGGCCUCAUCUAUACCAACACUGUCUGGAAGGCUGGCGUUAGAGUGGACCACACAAAAGUGAUGCUGGGAACUUUCGGGCCAAAGCAAGAGCCCUAUACUUGCGGGUUGGAAGAAGAAACCAUCCCUUCUGGCAUUUUGGCAAGAGGCUGCUACUCUGCUACAACCAAGUGCGGAGGACAGUGAAAGCUAAAUUGAUUUCGUGGAGUUGCAAUUACAAAUUUAGCCUUUGCCGUAUGGUUGGACCUUUGUAUGCCUUGGGCUUUCUGUCUUUUCACACCAGGGAGAUUUUUUUCCUCAUUCUGCGAGGGUUGCCGGGCACCUUUGGUCGUGUUUGCUUGACGUUCUUGGUAAGCCUAUUCAAAACGACGCCGUUUGUCGGCUUCUGUUUCUAUUCUUGCUAGUCAGGGCUAACAGAUCAAGUUAAAGUUAAAAUAAAUAAAUAAAUAAAUGC
rnacentral:misc_RNA from 1 species